rnacentral:rRNA from 1 species
UACGGAGGGUGUAAACGUUGCUCGGAAUCAUUGGGCGUAAAGCGCACGUAGGCGGCCUGAUAAGUCGGGUGUGAAAGCCCUGGGCUCAACCCAGGAAGUGCACUCGAAACUGUCAGGCUUGAAUAUGGAAGAGGGUCGCGGAAUUCCCGGUGUAGAGGUGAAAUUCGUAGAUAUCGGGAGGAACACCAGUGGCGAAGGCGGCGACCUGGGCCAAUAUUGACGCUGAGGUGCGAAAGCGUGGGGAGCAAACAGG